GCAAGUCGAACGGAAACGAUAGUAGCUUGCUACUAGGCGUCGAGUGGCGGACGGGUGAGUAAUACUUAGGAAUCUGCCCAGUAGCGGGGGACAACUCGAGGAAACUCGAGCUAAUACCGCAUACGCCCUACGGGGGAAAGCAGGGGAUCUUCGGACCUUGCACUAUUGGAUGAGCCUAAGCGAGAUUAGCUUGUUGGUGGGGUAAUGGCCUACCAAGGCUGCGAUCUCUAGCUGGUCUGAGAGGACGAUC
rnacentral:rRNA from 1 species